GCCCGAGAAGCUCUAUUGGUGGAGCAUAAUACUGAAGCUAUUAUGGUUGUAAGUUCAAGUCUUACCUUGGGCA
rnacentral:tRNA from 1 species